AUGCCUGGGAAAAACACAAGGCCAGAUGUUUUAGCUAGUGAUACAGUCCUGUUGGCUUCGCUGGUGCAAAGGAGAGAAUUUGACCAGUAACUUUAAAGGAAGAAUGAGAAUACUUCAUAAAAUUCAGAUCUCAGUUCAGAAGAAGAGCAUGAAGCUACCUUAUGCCCUGCUGAAACACCUGUAGGGAGCCUCAAGACACAUUGGUUCUGGUUAUUUAUUACAACUCCUUAUUCACUGGGAGUAACAAUUAAUACAGGCGUGCAGGAAACAUACAGAUUGCAGGCGAUUGGAGUCCCUUGUGCUGCAAAUUGCUGGAGAAAUCUACUGUCACAACAGCCUUCUCAUCUUGUAUUCCUGCUUGUCCCUGCUCAGCUGGCCAAAUGGAAGAACUCCUUGCCAGAUGCCUGUUUCUUUUCAGCCCUGUGCCUGUCUCCUCUUGGCUCACGGGCCAUCUCUAUGUAGUUCUAUUCCGCUCUCCGCCUGAACCAGCUCAGAAAUGCAUGCUUUGUCUAGUAGCUAGAAAAGAACAGGCAGUUGCAUUCAGCCAAAACCCCAUGACAUUGGAAACGGAUGAGAAAUUGAAGUGAGACAAUCUUGAGGGAACUGCAAGGUCCGUGGAGUCUUUGGAAAUCUGACUGCCUAUUUUGGGUAAUGAGGCAUAGAUUUCAGAGUCUGCCUUCAGUCACUUCAGUGUCCAAAUCUUGACCUAAUGGUCUAAGUUAUAUUUUGCAGCUUUGAUCACAUAGUCACAUAAGUGUUUUUGUUCAUUUAUGGUAAGAGAUUCACUAGCCAUUGUUUCUCCUCUGAGACACCAGAGAAAGCACACUGCCAGUUGUCUACAGCAAAUCAUACAGAAUCAUAGAAUCAUAGAAUGGCCUGGGUUGAAAAGGACCACAGUGAUCAUCAAGUUUCAGCCCCCUGCUAUUAUGUGCAGGGUUGCCAACCACCAGACCAGGCUGCCCAGAGCCACAUCCAGCCUGGCCUUGAAUGCCUCCAGGGAUGGGGCAUCCACAACCUCCUUGGGCAACCUGUUCCAAUGUGUCACCACCCUCUGUGUGAAAAACUUCCUCCUAAUAUCUAACCUAAACACUUUGAUAAGCAGCAGAUCUUGGACCAGGCGAUACCUGUGAGCCAGAUAGAUGCACCUGAGAAUUUGUUCAGCUAUGCCAGUUUGGGGAGGGGAGGCAAUGAGCAGCAUAUAGCAGAGGGCAGCAACAGGCAGCAGCUGGCAUUCCCCAGCAGCCAGUUUGCCAGCCUGAUGUAACAGGUAUAUAUGUUCACAUAUGUCAAUAUGUAUUCACAUAAAUGCAUGCUACGGAUAAAGCAGCUCACU
rnacentral:lncRNA from 1 species